UACGUAGGGGGCGAGCGUUUGUCCGGAGUUACUGGGCGUAAAGCGCGUGUAGGCGGUCACCCCAGUCAGGUGUGAAAGCCCAGGGCUCAACCCUGGACGUGCACUUGAUACUAGGUGGCUGGAGUCUUGGAGAGGAUAGCGGAAUUCCCGGUGUAGAGGUGAAAUUCGUAGAUAUCGGGGAGGAACACCAGUGGCGAAGGCGGCUCACUGGCCCGGAACUGACGCUGAGACGCGAAAGCGUGGGGAGCAAACAGG
rnacentral:rRNA from 1 species